CACCAACUUAAACACUACAUUUGAAAGUCUUUUAACCCUUCCUGUCAAGUUUGGCUGAGGUUCUAGGGAAGACUCUUUUUGUUUCAAAUUGGAAUAACCUGGAGCAGACCAGAACUAAGGCAUUCUGAGGCUGUAGUUUGGAGUGGGGUCUGAGAACCUGCACUGCGGCCACGUGGCCCCAGUCACUCUCCAGGCAAGUGGGCACAGGCUGCAGCUGCAGAAGUCGUGCUGUCCCAUUGUUCUCCACGUGGAGUCCGAGAGAGGAAGAAGUAAGGAUGACUGCUCGAGAAUCUGCAUUCUAACAGCCUGUCCCAGGACCUUUCAAAGGGUAGUGACAGCCUGAAAAUGAGCCUGGCAUCCAACCAGCAACUGCGGUGGCAGAUGCCAACGCCUUUAUGAAGUGUUCCCCGGUUUUACAGAGCAAAAGCCAAAAAAUGCAACCUACCCUGAGCAACAGCCAGGAUGUUGAUACUGCCAGGCAAUUCCUGGCUCAGUGGACCACCACCUCCUACUUUUUGGACCAAGAGGAUACACCAGAGACCAACCUCCCGUGAUUCAGGCCUUGCUGACACAUCACUGAUCCAGCCAGAUUUCUUCCUUUGCUUGAAUUACUACCUGAGAGUCAGUGAAGUCGGACACUCAACUUCAAGUUAAUUUCCUUCUAUUUGUGGAUGUCGUCCAUGUAUAUGCCUUUCAGCCAGUGUAAUCUUUCCAAAAGUUCUUGUUGACUGUAAGAGCUUGAAAGCUCGUUAUUGUUGAAGGAAUGAGAAGACUGACAUCCAUUGUGUCUCAGUUGGUGACAGAAAUAUGUGACACUAAACAAGGCCUUUAUCCUCUGUUUAUCCAUCUGGAAAAUGAGAACAACAAUACUCACUAGUCUGGUAUGGAAGUGAUUGCCAAGGACUUUGUGAUCCACACAGGGAAGGCUCUACGCCCAGCAUGGAGUCCAACAUGGGGCUGGAACUUACCGUCCUGAGAUCAAGACCUGUGCUGCAAUUAAGAGUCAGAUGCUUCACUGACUAAGCCACGCAGGCGCCCUUUGUCUCACUGAAUUCUCAGGACUCUUCUAUCAGUUUGCUGUUCUCUCUUGAGAUCUCAGGCUCCGCCCAUCUCCGAUGUCUUUUUCCCCAUCCUGUUCCUAGCAUUGGACACAGCCUGGAUUACUCCCCAUUUCACAAAGCAUCAUUCAUACAAGGUGUUAUCAGAAGGCUUCUGGACAAGAGCUACAACUCAACUGGUCCUAAAAUGACGUGUGCUUAGAGUUUUUGUGCUGCCACCAGAAAUAACUACAGGUCGUGGUCAGAAAAAGCUAGAAAAAUCUACUGUAAAGUCUUGCUACUCAAAGAGUGAACAAACAGCAUCACAACACCUGGGAGCCAAUUCAAAAUAUUGAAGGCUGGUGGCAAGCUUGUGUGGAGCAAAUCUUUGGGGGCCUUUUUUCCAAUAGCAUUUGCUUAUUACUCUGUGUCCCUGUGUCACAUUUUGAUUUCUAUUGGGAAACCCAUUCUGUGUGGCAUGAGACAUAACCCAGAUAUUGGCCAAUCAGAAUCUUCCCUAACAAGUGAUUUGGAGAGUCCAGAUGGCUUUUCUUCCUGGAGCUAUAGAAGCUGGGCUCAUCUUUCUUGGCCUAUUAUGAAAGAAUAAGGCUAAUAUGAAAAAGAAACUUGGGACACAUCACAGCAAGAAGGAAUUGGUACCUGAAAGUGAAACUACUUUACCUGGUAACAGUCUGCAGUGCUAUUUCCUAGGAGAGUCUGCCCAUUUCAGACUCAAGAUGCUGGGGCUUACCUCUGAAUAAAGAGGUGGAGGCAAGAACCGAAACUCCUGGAUAUAUGCAAACAGUGGUCCUUGAAGCGCUCUCUCAAAGUCAUCACAAGCACUCACUGGUGCAAGAUUGUUCCGCCUUUGUUCCUCUGUUACCACUUCUGCAUAGCUGGGUGGUGCUGAAGGAAAAAGAUACACGCAAUUCGAACAGCAUGUUCUUAUGCAUGUCAAAAUACACAGAAUAGUAGGUAUUAAAAAGGAAUGUCAAGGUAAAAAUAAUAAUUGUUUUGUGAUUAAAACUAGGGGGAUAUAUGUUUUAAAUCUAACAUUAGGGACACAUCUACUUUCUGCAGAUAUAGACAAAAAUUUAAUCAUAAAAUACUAGAAGCAAAAUUACAAUCUUGAAAAUAAUCAUACGAGAUUAGGCUUAAACAUGCAUUAUUGAAUUACCUUCAGGUCUUUCACGUAGGGAUAAGCCAAGCCAGUUCAUAUUCAUGCUACACUGACUGCUUACACUUGAGGUUCUGCUACCAAAUGGAUGUAGAGGAAUGGUACCAAUGACAAGUGGCAAAUUAAGAAAUAAAUCCAUAGCUCCAGGAAUAUCCACAUAUACCUAAAACAUUGAAAGGAGAUGAUAGGUUUAGAAUUCCAAGCAUUAUUUCUUUUUAAAAAACCAAUAACCCAAUUUUAACAUUACCUUAGUUUUUCAUUUACUUUCUUUUAUACAUACAUAUAUAUAUAUAUUCUAAAAUAAAAGUUCCUCCACUAUGUAUAGUACUGUGUAGUACAUUUACAUGUGACAUAAAAUAGUGGUAAUUCAAAUUAAAGGUUUACAUAUGUAUGUAUCUAUGAUACAUGGAAGAUAAAAACCAAACCCUGGAAUAAGACAGAAUGAUAUCCUCAUGACUUUAAUAAUGAACAAACUCUUAAAUCUAUACAUACCAUUAGUGAAUAUUCCACACGAAUGAUGCUACAGUCGAGGAUAGAGGGAGAAACUGGUGGAAUUUUCAGCAAUUUUCCAUUCCAUGUAUCGGUCUUUCCAGAUGAUAAGGAUUCUCCUCGCAAGUUAGCCACCAGCUGUUUUACUUCCUUCAUUUUCCCUUUGGCAUAGAAGGCCUGUGUUUGGUAAAUGGCUGCCUUUGGCACUACCAUUCGGGAAGAGCAGUUCUCAAUCUCAGCAAAUAUCUGAAUUGAUUCACCUGGUGAAAAAAAACAUGUAUCUACUGUUAAACAAAUAAAAAACCCUCUAAAAAUGUAGAUAAGUGUGAAAGUUCAAUGGACUACAUGGAUGAAAAACUGUCCCCAAAGUGGCAAGUAACUUAAAUUGGUAAAAUGGCUACUGAUUUCUAGUAGCUAUUUAAAAAUGGACAUCACACAGGACACCUGAGUGGCUUAGCAGUUGAGCAUCUGCCUCUGACUCAGGGCAUGAUCCUGGGGCCUGGGAUCGAGUCCCAUGCUUCUCCCUCUGCCUAGGUCUCUGCCUCUCUCCUGUGUCUCUCAUGAAUAAAUAAAUAAAAUCUUAAAAGAAAAAAAAAAAAAAAAAAGGAAACCACAUUCCCAUGCAUGAAAGAAAACGGAGUUAUUUUACCAAAGAAUACUGUAUUACAUUUGCAUUUAGUAGAAAUACUAUAAAUUUACACCAAGAGCUAAGAGAAGAAAGACCACUUCUGUGGGAAUCCAUCUCAUACAUACCUGGGGUAUAGCCCUUCCUUUCGAUUUUGGCACUUAAGGAUAUUGGGCCUGAGGUACAGAACCAGCAACAGAGAGUCUUUUCUUUUGUGCCUGCUUGGGGUGACUGCAAGAAAUAAAUUUAGAGAAAAGGGUCAAUGUAUAAAUUAGAGCAGUAACAGAAUGUUUUAAAAUAAAACUCUUGAUUCUUGGGGAAUUAAAAUUAAAAGCAGUGUUGCUUUUUUUCCCCCAAGUGUAUUGAAAUAUACUUUUUAAAAAACUAACCAAUGGCUUCUGAAUUAUACAAUUAUUUUUGUUUUAUACAAAUUUCCAUCCAGUUAAAAAAAAAUAAAACAAAAAACAUGGCUUAACAUAUCCCAUAAACACAGUUUUCGCUCACACUAUUUACAUAUAUAGUAAUUAAAAACAAACCAAUCAAACAAACAAACAAACAAAAAAACCCUUUCCACAUUCCACUUAAACUGCCUUAAAAAAAGGCAGCUUGGAAAGCAACUUGGUUCUAAUCCCAAAUGUUAACAUCUUUCUUUGAGAAUGUAAAAAUCAGUUUUGUGAAAAAAGGAAAACUCUCAUUUUUAGGAUUCUUAUUUGCCUAAAGAUGUUAUCAUUUGCUUAAAACUGAUGAAGUUUUUAAAGUCAAAUUUGAAUCUUGUGAAAAAAUGCAAUUAAAAAGGAUUUCUUUUAAAAUGUAAUGGUUUUUUCAUGAAAGUGACAAUCUCCCCAUUAUUUGACAACUAUCCCUAUAUUGGAAUAUGCAAUGCAGUCCAAAUUUUAGAGUAUGAUCUUUUCAUGGUAAGUGACAUACAUUUUCUUACAAUAAAAAUAAUUGAUAGUACUGUUCCGCCUCCACUUAAAUUAUCCAGGGAACAGAUCUAUUUUUUGUUAUUCUGUUAAUUUCAGAGUAAGAGUUAUUUCAUACCAUAUGUUGCUUUGACUUUAAAAAAUUUUUAAAGUCAUUAUACUGUCAGGAAAUACGAGCAUAUUCUUCACUAAUUUGUGUGCUCUUGACUGUAUUUUAAAAAAUAUAUUAGUAUUUACGGAAUUUGAAAUCACGGUUUUAAAAUUAUACAGACUGCAUAGUUUAGGUGAUUAUUCUUUAGUAUUUAUAUGCCAAAAAACAAAGAAUGAAGAAUUCAGUCAAUUCUUACCAGUAAUGAAGGAGUGUUGAUAUCUAUAUGCUCAAAGACUGUAAAUUCCUUCUUUAAUUUUACUGGUAGAAGCCAAGGCCUGUGCAAUUCGGCUUUCACCCAAUAGCGCACACUGCCAUGUCGGCCUUCGAAUGAGGUAGCAAGUGGUCUGUGCAGAAUAUAAAGUUCAAUAUAUUAAUUUUAUACCUCUUUUUAAUAAUUAUACAGUAGGUCAGCAUAGAAGUGUUACUAUAUUGCACUGUUCAUGUAUCAAUGAGGUAUCAAACAGAAUUUUUUUAAUUUCCAAAGGGAGAAGUCAUUGGGGGAAAAAAAGCCUUCUGUUUUCCAAAAAACAAUAGCUAACACUUAAGUAUUAUAGAAAUUUUGCUUUAAAAAGCCAGAAGAAUACAAUCCCUUUAAACUAAGAAGAGGCUACUUUCAAUGCUGGUGGCAAAAUUAUGAAAGUUUGGAAAGUCAGCAAUUCUUGAAAGGUCGGUAAUUUAAAAACAAAGUUAAGAAUGGUUUCAGCAUUUCUAAUAUUCUACACACUGGCUACGAAUUCUCUCUCCUUUUAUAGGAACUAAUUAAGAAGGUCUAGAAAAUGCCUGGGACUGUUGUUAUAAUUUCAAAAAUUUCACAUUUUAUAAACUCUUCUGAAACUCUAAAAAGCUGCUUUUCCGUUUCUUAGGUUACUCAUGUCCUAAGAACUCUUUUUGGCUGUGUUGUAUAA